AGGAGGGUGUUUUGCGCCACGUGGCACCUAUUUUUCCAAACGAUUUCUGUCGUUUACUCGGGCUGGGCCACUGAUGACUGGCCCAUUAAUUUUCCCUUUUAUUUGGUCCGGCUGGAAGCGAGAUUAGUAACAUUAAACUUUAAUUUAUUUUUAAUGGUUCAUCAGAAUUUUAGGCUACCAGACCCACCACCAAAACCCUUUGUACCGUCGUCUCUUUCGUAGCGAUUCCAAGCUGCCUCCGGUUGUUUUGUAACCGAUGAAGUUAAUUUAAGACUCCACUCUCCAUGAUUAAUCAAUAGAGGUUAGUAACGGCAUUCAAUGGUAGGAGUCGACAACUUCUUCAUCCUUCCGGCUUCCCUCAUUUCUCCAAUUUCCUCGAACCCUAUAUAUAUGGAGUUGAAGAGUGCGGCUCAGCUGAUCUUAUCGCCUCGCUAUCAACUCAGAGAGCAUGGAAGGAUCUCUGGUGCUAGCUUUAUUGUUGCACGAAGCAUCAUUCCCGGUCUAAUUAUCGCUCUCUUUGCUUUGUGUCAUUAGAUUCAUUACGACCAAUCUUUGUUCGUAGUUUAUUUAUUUUUUGUCCCCAGAUUAUUGGAACAAACUACAAGACCCUUGAUGGGACUUGCGUGUAUGUGACUACAUAGAUGUCACAGACUGAUGGGCGUUCAUAUAGUCCUUAUUUUUACAAGGCCAGGCUCAUGCAAGGAUCAAUCAGCAUCUACCGUCUUAACUCCUUCAGGCAUAUCUUGGAAGAAAGCAAUGUGUAUGAGCUGAAUGGUUUCGAUAUUGCAAAAAGCAAUCCGACCUACAAGUUUGAUGAGACGCCAGUGUCUAUUAGACACAGAGCAUACUGUUUUUGUUGGGGUAGCAGAUACAAGUGAGAAUCCCCAAGGAGUGCUUCAGGUUCCGGAAAUACGAUCAGCUCAUGUCACUUGCCAAUAUGAACACUUAUUUUACAGAUAUCUUUGGAGAAGUUAGAGGCAUCAAAACCAUUCACAACCAUGACACCUAGAGCGCUCAAUGCCUCAUGGCAUGUUGGCAACCUUAAAGCUCGAUAGGGACAUUCCUUUCUGUCUGAGUGUUUUGAUUUGCUGCCUACCUGGAUAAAAUAUUAUUGAAUUCUGGUGUUUAACCAAUGGUGGUUAUUGCAACAAAUAUUAACUCAAAGUUUGUUGGUGGCAAAAACCUCUCAAUGUUCAGCUAGGUGCAGCAUGGUCUUAAGGUCAAGUUUUGCUUUUGUUCAAAGGCGGCUGCUUCUCAACGCAACCUCAUGCACUUUUAUUUUGACAACGACGGUGGAGUUAGCAGUAAUUAUCUUAAAAAGUUGAGUGGCACCGAUGAGGGAUCAUCCUGAGCUCUUACUAAGUAUGGUGGGGUUAAGAAAAGUUGAAUUAGUUACACUGUCUGAACUCAAUACCCGCGGCUUCACUGCAUCACCUGAGGAACCAGAGUUCCUUUGCACUGCGGUCGUCGAUUGCAUUGACACAGCACACAGAUGGUGCUAUUUCUCAUUUCAGAAGUGCUACCGCAAACUGCAACGUGGAUUCUCAGCUGUUUCAUGCUAUGCAUGUCGACAAUGCAGAUGGCGUUGUUAGGUACUAUAGGAACACAAUGUCACUAAAGAAAUAGUGUAUUAAUUAUGUAAGCAAAAAACACAGUAUAUGUAGCACAAUAUCUUCUUCUCUCUGUGCUAAGUACCUUGUGCAAAUGAGCAAGCAAGAAAAUCCCACCUGCUUUGACAAUCCUCCUCGCCUGAACAAUGAAGGCUGCACAACUAAUGUUAAUAUUACAGGUCAAGCACUCCACGGCUAUGCCCUAUUCAGCCAGACAGUGACAUUGGAGAGGAGUUGGCUGAAGAAAAAGGUCGCAGCCCUAUGAAGCGCCCCAAAGACUAGGUGUUCUACACCGGCAGUAAGAGCGAGCUGAUUUAGUGUCACAACUAUUUUGCACUUCAUACUUUUAUCUUUUCAUGUUUCUGCAUCCGAGUAACUACAUUUCCUAGAUAUUCUGAACCCCACAGUAGGUUCUUUGGUCUUUCUCCUAAACAUAGUUCCACACACUCUGCAGUUGAAGUUAACGAGUUCAUUCCUCUUUCAUGAUUAUCUGCAUAUUUUCCUUUUUGUUGUUGACAAUAUUUUCUCUCAUCUUCAAGUAGAAAAUGAGAAAAUGCCACAUGCAAAUGGUUAAUUAUAUAUUUCUAUGUAUGUUUUUUUUUUGAAGAAAUAUAUUUCUGUAUGUCGUACUUUUUAAAACAUAUAUUAUACAAUUACAAAAAUCGUGAAAACAAAACUUUGAAUCUUCUGCAGCCUCUUUUGAAUAAAAUCAUAAAUAAAAAACAGACAACAUGGACUUGCGUUAUCUAAGAACAACCAGCUAUGAUUGCAACUACGAUAAAGUGCUUUCCAAUUAUUCAUCAGCCUCUAUUUCUGUGGAUUCAUCCUUCCAAUAAUAAAAGGUUUGCCCACAAUCACUUAACCACUUACGAUUUAGAUUACUCCACUCCUACUUAAAAAUCUAAUACUUUGUCAACAAGUCAUAGAUAACAUCGAUCGAACUUUCGCUCGAAAAGCUACGAAAAGGAGCAUCACAUUCAAACUUCUAGCUGUGACAAAAAAAAGGAUUCAAGGAAAACAGCUGCAGCCCGAGCUUUCAGGACACAAAUUAAAUUGUUAUUUGCCUGUUUCCGGAGAAUUAACUCCAGCUUAUUACCAGCUUAUUUAAAUUCUUCAGUUGAACGUCUCCUUUAUAAACAUAUACCCAGACUUAAAACAGUCACUGUCUAGACCACAUAAAAAAAAAAAAAUCCUUAACAAGCAACGUCUAAAUUAACCAAACUUUUUGGUCAUUACAUAUCAUGCAGGCUCUGUUUUUUGACUUGCCUAAGAUGCCCGAACUUGGUAACGAUGAUGAUAUGUCUUGUGUGCAGUCAGAUACGGGUUCUAUUUUCCUGAAACCACUUAAAAUUUUACAAGCAAGACAACAAAUAAACAAAACACAUGCCUUUUUACAAAAAAAAAAAAAAAACAAAACACAAAACAA